GUUUCCAUAGUGUAGUAGUUAUCAUGUUUGCCUAACAAGCAAAAGGGCCCUGGUUCAAAACCAUGUGGAAACA